rnacentral:rRNA from 1 species
UACGAAGGGGGCAAGCGUUGUUCGGAAUUACUGGGCGUAAAGGGCGCGUAGGCGGCUUACCAAGUCAGGCGUGAAAUCCCCAGGCUCAACCUGGGAACUGCAUCCGAUACUGGAUGGCUUGAAUCCGGGAGAGGGAUGCAGAAUUCCAGGUGUAGCGGUGAAAUGCGUAGAUAUCUGGAGGAACACCGGUGGCGAAGGCGGCAUCCUGGACCGGUAUUGACGCUGAUGCGCGAAAGCCAGGGGAGCAAACGGGAU